rnacentral:rRNA from 1 species
UACGUAGGUGGCAAGCGUUGUCCGGAUUUAUUGGGUUUAAAGGGUGCGUAGGCGGCUCUAUAAGUCAGUGCUGAAAUAUCCCGGCUUAACCGGGAGGGUGGCAUUGAUACUGUUGAGCUUGAGUAAAGUUGAGGUUGGCGGAAUUGACGGUGUAACGGUGAAAUGCUUAGAUAUCGUCAAGAACACCUAUUGCGAAGGCAGCUAACUAAGCUUUAACUGACGCUGAGGCACGAAAGUGUGGGGAUCAAACAGG